rnacentral:rRNA from 1 species
AACGAACGCUGGCGGCAGGCCUAACACAUGCAAGUCGAACGUGAAGCCACCUUCGGGUGGUGGAAAGUGGCAGCCGGGGGAGUAACGCGUGGGAACGUGCCUUUCGGUUCGGAAUAACCCAGGGAAACUUGGGCUAAUACCGGAUACGCCCUUCGGGGGAAAGAUUUAUCGCCGAAAGAUCGGCCCGCGUCGGAUUAGCUAGUUGGUAGGGUAAUGGCCUACCAAGGCGACGAUCCGUAGCUGGUCUGAGAGGAUGACCAGCCACACUGGGACUGAGACACGGCCCAGACUCCUACGGGAGGCAGCAGUGGGGAAUAUUGGACAAUGGGCGAAAGCCUGAUCCAGCCAUGCCGCGUGGGUGAAGAAGGCCCUAGGGUUGUAAACCCCUUUCAGCGGGGAAGAUAAUGACGGUACCCGCAGAAGAAGCCCCGGCUAACUCCGUGCCAGCAGCCGCCGUAA